AUUGAACGCUGGCGGCAGGCCUAACACAUGCAAGUCGAGCGGAUGAAGGGAGCUUGCUCCUGGAUUCAGCGGCGGACGGGUGAGUAAUGCCUAGGAAUCUGCCUGGUAGUGGGGGAUAACGUCCGGAAACGGGCGCUAAUACCGCAUACGUCCUGAGGGAGAAAGUGGGGGAUCUUCGGACCUCACGCUAUCAGAUGAGCCUAGGUCGGAUUAGCUAGUUGGUGGGGUAAAGGCCUACCAAGGCGACGAUCCGUAACUGGUCUGAGAGGAUGAUCAGUCACACUGGAACUGAGACACGGUCCAGACUCCUACGGGAGGCAGCAGUGGGGAAUAUUAGACAAUGGGCGAAAGCCUGAUCCAGCAAUGCCGCGUGUGUGAAGAAGGUCUUCGGAUUGUAAAGCACUUUAAGUUGGGAGGAAGGGCAGUAAGUUAAUACCUUGCUGUUUUGACGUUACCAACAGAAUAAGCACCGGCUAACUUCGUG
rnacentral:rRNA from 1 species